UAUAUUUUGACUGGAGAGUUUGCCAGCGUCAACGCGCACACUCCAUGAAAGCAGACGUGUUGCAUAAUUCACGCGCGACAGCGAAAUACUACAGCGCGUCGGAUGAAUAAAGUAUAAUGCUAAAUAUUUGACAGAAUGCUAAUAAUUGCAGAAAGAAUUCAUUAGCAUCCGCCAGGCAUCCUUAUGAAUAAUGGACCUCGAGGAGUGCGGGAACAUCACACCGGAUCUUCCCAUAUGGGCCUGAUACCUGAUCACUUCAUUCAUGGCGCUGCUGCUCUGCAUGGGCACCAUGUGAAGGGCAAAAGCGCCAUCUGGUGGCGAGGAGGAAGGCUAAAUUUGGGGGAGCAGGAUCCAAUAGUGCCACGAAAAGGGGAUUCCGGAAUAAGCCGUUUCCUGAAUGGAUAUGACAAAGUUCCGGGGACGACAAGUGGACGGUGUCAUCCUUCGACAAUUAUGAGGUGUCCCUGGGCUGGCUUGGAAGAAGAAGAAGCUGCUAUGAGUGUGAAGCAGGAGGUGAAUGCCACUAAUGAGAUGGAAUGAGGAAGUAGACAAGCGACUUUCAGGCACCAGCAGGAAACAAUAUGACGAAUAAAGGCAACUUGGCACCCCUUUUAUUCUUGCUUUACUCUUGGUUUGCUUUCAUUUUGAUAUAAUUGAACCACUAAGCAGGUUUGCAUAAAUUGCCUGAUUUUUUUUGUUAUGUUCUUUUUCUCACUGGACACAUUAUUAGGUACACCCAUGUAACCAGUGUUGGAAAAGAAUAUCUGAGCCGAACAGAAGAAGGAACAAACUUUUGCAAGAUUAUGUUGAACCUACCAAAUAGAAAAAUAUGCACAAAACUUCAUCCAUCCUGUCCCUGUAAGAUUUUUCAUUUUUUGAUUAGGUAGGUUAAAUUAGUGAACAGGAUUACUAUUAUUGAUAUGAUUAACAAUAUACAUAAAACUUUGCUUGUCAGUCAAUCAGGAGUUAAUUACUUACCGUAGUUAGUGAAGAUCACCCAUCAAGUUAUGUUAACAGGAUAACCUAAAAAAACAAACUACAGCAUUUCCAAAUUUGGUUUGUUGGUCUGUCAAGAGGGUCGGUGAUCGACUGGUUAGCUCAGGGUACGAUUCCGGCUCCGGCUUUCCUGUGUUGAGAUAGGAUAUUCUCCCCGUGCCUGCGUGUGUUUUUUCCAGGUAAUCCGGUUUCCUCCCACAUUCCCAAAACAUGCGUGGCAGGUUAAUGGACCACUCCAAAUUCUCCCGAGGCGUGAGUUUGAGUGCGGAUGAUUUUUCCUUUAUAUGCGUAAGUAGGUAGGUUGAGCAACCCGAAGUUUGCUUAGAUGAUCCUAGAGUUGUUUUGGUAGAUAGUCAACUGGUUAAAUUGAGUUCAUUUGGCAGGG